rnacentral:rRNA from 1 species
CCUACGGGGGGCAGCAGUGAGGAAUAUUGGUCAAUGGACGAGAGUCUGAACCAGCCAAGUAGCGUGAAGGAUGACUGCCCUAUGGGUUGUAAACUUCUUUUAUAUGGGAAUAAAAUGUUCCACGUGUGGGAUUUUGUAUGUACCAUAUGAAUAAGGAUCGGCUAACUCCGUGCCAGCAGCCGCGGUAAUACGGAGGAUCCGAGCGUUAUCCGGAUUUAUUGGGUUUAAAGGGAGCGUAGGUGGAUUGUUAAGUCAGUUGUGAAAGUUUGCGGCUCAACCGUAAAAUUGCAGUUGAAACUGGCAGUCUUGAGUACAGUAGAGGUGGGCGGAAUUCGUGGUGUAGCGGUGAAAUGCUUAGAUAUCACGAAGAACUCCGAUGGCGAAGGCAGUUCACUGGACUGCAACUGACACUGAGGCUCGAAAGUGUGGGUAUCAAACAGGAUUAGAUACCACAGUAGUC